AACGCGAAGAACCUUACCAGCCCUUGACAUCCCGGUCGCGGACUCCAGAGAUGGAGUUCUUCAGUUCGGCUGGACCGGAGACAGGUGCUGCAUGGCUGUCGUCAGCUCGUGUCGUGAGAUGUUGGGUUAAGUCCCGCAACGAGCGCAACCCCCGUCCUUAGUUGCUACCAUUUAGUUGAGCACUCUAAGGAGACUGCCGGUGAUAAGCCGCGAGGAAGGUGGGGAUGACGUCAAGUCCUCAUGGCCCUUACGGGCUGGGCUACACACGUGCUACAAUGGCGGUGACAAUGGGAUGCGAAGGCGCAAGUCCUAGCAAAUCUCAAAAAGCCGUCUCAGUUCGGAUUGGGCUCUGCAACUCGAGCCCAUGAAGUUGGAAUCGCUAGUAAUCGUGGAUCAGCACGCCACGGUGAAUACGUUCCCGGGCCUUGUACACACCGGCUAC
rnacentral:rRNA from 1 species